AUUGAACGCUGGCGGCGUGCUUAACACAUGCAAGUCGAGCGAUGAAGUUUCCUUCGGGAAACGGAUUAGCGGCGGACGGGUGAGUAACACGUGGGUAACCUGCCUCAUAGAGUGGAAUAGCCUUCCGAAAGGAAGAUUAAUACCGCAUAACGUUGAAAGAUGGCAUCAUCAUUCAACCAAAGGAGCAAUCCGCUAUGAGAUGGACCCGCGGCGCAUUAGCUAGUUGGUGGGGUAACGGCCUACCAAGGCGACGAUGCGUAGCCGACCUGAGAGGGUGAUCGGCCACAUGGGGACUGAGACACGGCCCAGACUCCUGCGGGAGGCAGCAGUGGGGAAUAUUGAACAAUGGGGGAAACCCUGAUGCAGCAACGCCGCGUGAGUGAUGAAGGUUUUCGGAUCGUAAAGCUCUGUCUUUGGGGAAGAUAAUGACGGUACCCAAGGAGGAAGCCACGGCUAACUACGUGCCAGCCGCCGCCGUAACAC
rnacentral:rRNA from 1 species